CCUACGGGUGGCAGCAGUGAGGAAUAUUGGUCAAUGGGCGCGAGCCUGAACCAGCCAAGCAGCGUGAAGGAUGACGGCCCUACGGGUGGUAAACUUCGUUGAUAAAGGAAUAAAGUGAGGCACGUGUGCAAUUUUGUAUGUACAUUAUGAAUAAGGAUCGGCUAACUCCGUGCCAGCAGCCGCGGUAAUACGGAGGAUCCGAGCGUUAUCCGGAUUUAGUGGGUUUAUAGGGAGCGUAGAUGGGUUGUUACGUCAGUUGUGCAAGUUUGCGGCUCAACCGUAAAAUUGCAAUUGAUACUGGCAGCCUUGAGUACAGCUGCGGUAGGCGGAAUUCGUUGUGUAGCGGU
rnacentral:rRNA from 1 species